CCCUUAGAUGUUCUGGGCGGCCCGCGCACUACAAUGGCGCUUUCAGCGAGUUCCUAUGUUGAAUUUUCCUGGGUAUUCUUGGAAGCGGCGUCUUGACUUGGGAUAGAUCCUUGUAAUUGUUGGUUUUGAACGAGGAAUUCCUUGUAAUCGCGGUUGAUCAGCUCGCGUUGAAUACGUCCCUGCCCUUUGUACACACCGCCCGUCGCUCCUACCGAUGAAUCGUCCGGUGAAGUUCACAGAGUGGCGGUUCGUGUAGUUGCUCGCGAAGUGAAAUGGACCUCACGAUUUAGAGGAAGGAGAAGUCGUAACA
rnacentral:rRNA from 1 species